CCUCGGGAGGGGGUUGGGGCUGCAUCUUGCGGAGACGUGCUGCACCCCAUGGACACGAGAUGCAUGUAUUAUCCAUUGGAUCGGCCUAAGCAUUCUCACUCAAUCCCUGAUCCAUGGCGACAGAGAUGCAGCCCUUGCUUCCAAAGGCCCUGUCAACAUACUGAUUCAACCGGAAGCUCCCAUCAGAACCAUCGAAUCCCCCGUUCUCAAAGACGGCGAUCCUUUUCUUCUAGAGAUGUUGCACUGACAGAUGAUGAUUUCUCCCCAGGCUGAGUGCAGGAUCGCUGGCCGCACCAUGAACGCUGCAGCAAUCCAGGGGCUGGUUCUCGGGUGCGGCACCCACUCUCUCGGACAGGUAUGAAUCCAUGUACAUACAUCGCUACCGCUGCAUCAUUUGGUCAAGGUUGGUGUACGCGUCUCUGGGAUUUGGGAAUGCAGGAAGCAAGAUUUGCGAAAUCUGUACGAGCUAGGUUCCAUUGUUGACGACUAUGAGGUAUUGCUCUGCAAUCUUCUUCUUUGCACCUAAUGCUCACACAGGUUUAUGUGUACUAGAUUUCUAUGAUAUCAGCCCAAUGGUCUGCAUUCGUGCUGAGUCGUGCUGACAAACUCUUACCUGAUUUUACUAUGAAAUUCUGGCUAAGACAUUUUCAACUUAAUUUUCACACAGAAAGACCUCCUUCUAGAUCUUACUAGCAGCAGCUUCUGUUAUCAUUCCAGAUAACCUUACGGGAAUUGUAAUAGAAGGCAACAUACUGGCUGUCCGUAUAGAACAGUUCAGAUAUGUGCUGAAGACUUGCCACUUGCUGAAGAAUUGACCAACUGUAGUCUCUUGAAAUCCAACAAGCAUACUGUAGAAACAUUGUCUCAAAUGCUAGCCCAUUGAUGUACGGACACACAAUAAAAUUCUACAAUCCAGUUAUUUUCAUACAGGAUUCAGAUACCAGACAAGAGAUGCACGGCUUGAGAGGCCACAACAGUGCAUAGGUUAACCAAGUUAUAUUUAUUUGAUGCUACGAAGGAAGGUGUUUAUGGAUUCUUGAUGC